rnacentral:rRNA from 1 species
GACGUAGGGUGCAAGCGUUGUCCGGAUUUAUUGGGCGUAAAGAGCUCGUAGGCGGCUUGUUGCGUCGACUGUGAAAACCCGCGGCUUAACCGCGGGCUUGCAGUUGAUACGGGCAGGCUAGAGUUCGGUAGGGGAGACUGGAAUUCCUGGUGUAGCGGUGAAAUGCGCAGAUAUCAGGAGGAACACCGGUGGCGAAGGCAGCCCCCUGGGCCAACACUGACGCUCAGGCACGAAAGCGUGGGGAGCAAACAGG